rnacentral:lncRNA from 1 species
AGCAAGCCAUUUCUUCAACAAGGAGAAAUUAAUUUCAUCCAAAGAGCCCUAGGAGCAAGGGCAGACUCAGAAAAUCAGAGGCACUGUAGUCAGUUUGAGCAGCUUAUGUCUUCAGACUGCUAAGCCGGCCAGUGCCAGGCUGGGUCCCUUUAAUUUCUCAAACACAAAUCGCCCUGCUGGAAUCUCAAGUUGGAUCUGCAGUAGAUCACCAUUAACUCAGCAGCUUGCUUUGUUGUGAGUCCUUAUGCCAGGAACUGUGCGGGAUACAAAAUGUAAGAGAAGGCUGGAAUAGAGCAUCUCCUGGGGAAAUGAGAGCCAGAGAUACAGCGGUGCCCCAUGGAGACAGCCAGCUGGUGUUUGGUAGUUCCUUGUGGAAAGGCUGUACUUUGACCACCUAAGCUAAAGAUUCUUUUGAGAACAAGGGCUAGCCUGUGGUUUCAUGGCCUUUCUUCCAUUUGGGGUUCUUGCGAAGUGGAAUUUAAAUGACCUCUUAUCAAGAUGGAUAAACCCAAGUUUCCCAGUGCUGGAAUAUAGAAAAUGGAUGGACA